GCGCAUGCCCCAAAUGUGGCCCUUUUGCCCCCAAACAGCCAGGCAAAAUCAUUCAUGUGAGGUAUCACUGUACUCAGGAGAUGUUGCUGAACACAUAUUGGGGUGUUUUGUGAUAGUGACAUAUACGAGAACCUUUUAACUCAUACCUGAAGUAAAAUGUGUGUGACAAAACAAAUGCAAAAAAAUGACUGCCACAAAGUUUGACAGACUGGUGGUAGAUAUGGUGCAUAGAAAGAGUUAAAAUACUAGCAUGUGAAAUACCCUGGGGUGUCUAGUUUUCAAAAAUAUAUGGGUUUAUUGGGCACACUGAAAUGGCCUGGCUCAAAGAUGUACCAAAUAGGGCAUGGGCAGUGGAUCCCCAAAUCCCAAAGUUCAACAUUGAAAAUGCGCAUGCCCAAAAUGUGGCCCUUUUGCCUCCAAACAGCCAGGCAAAAUCAUUCAUGUGAGGUAUCGCUGUACUCAGGAGAUGUUGCUAAACACAUAUUGGGGUGUUUUAUGAUAGUGACGUAUACCAGAACCUGUUUAUUCAUACCUGAAGUAAAAUGUGUGGGAAAAAACAAAUGCAAAAAAAUUACUACCAUAAAGUUUGACAAAGGCUGAUAGUAGAAUUAGUGCUUGGAAAGGGGUUAAAAUACUAGCAUUUGGAAUACCCUGGGCUGUCUAGUUUUCAAAAAUAUAUGACUUGAUGGGGUAAAUUGCAUUGGCCGGCUUCAAAGAUACCCGAAAUGGCACAUGGGGGGAAGAAUUACCAGAUUUGGAAAAAAUGGCUUUGAAAUAGCAAAA